GACGAACGCUGGCGGCGUGCUUAACACAUGCAAGUCGAGCGGAAAGGCCCCUUCGGGGGUACUCGAGCGGCGAACGGGUGAGUAACACGUGAGUAAUCUGCCCUUGGCUUCGGGAUAACCACCGGAAACGGUGGCUAAUACCGGAUAUGACCGCCCCCGGCAUCGGGUGGUGGUGGAAAGUUUUUUCGGCCAGGGAUGUGCUCGCGGCCUAUCAGCUUGUUGGUGGGGUAAUGGCCUACCAAGGCUUCGACGGGUAGCCGGCCUGAGAGGGUGACCGGCCACACUGGGACUGAGACACGGCCCAGACUCCUACGGGAGGCAGCAGUGGGGAAUAUUGGACAAUGGGCGAAAGCCUGAUCCAGCAACGCCGCGUGAGGGAUGACGGCCUUCGGGUUGUAAACCUCUUUCAGUACCGACGAAGCGCCGAUGAUGGUGGUGACGGUAGGUACAGAAGAAGCACCGGCCAACUACGUGCCAGCCGCCGCGGUAAGAC
rnacentral:rRNA from 1 species